GGCAGAGUGAGGGACCUUGGGCAUAACAGACAAAAGCGGGCGGGCGGAUCACGUGACACGGGACGGCGCGAGCGUGCCGUUGUUACCAUGGUAACAGCCUCACAAGCGCUCCAGGAGUGGCCCUGCGUAUUGCGCAACAGAAGUACGGAGCCCGGCAAGGCCGAUAAACUACGGAGUUACGAGGCUGCACGGCUGUACCGCCGCGCCCUUCCUCCCACCGUUGAGCUGAAGCCAACCCGCGAGCGUACAGUAAAUAUGCUGAAUAGUCAAUUUUCAGCUGUGUAGCAACACAUCUUUCAUCUUGUCAAAGCAUUCUUCCUCUAAGUCUUGGAACCAAGAAGGAGCCAAGCCUGAAGGUGGAGGACCUGCAUAGAAGGGUGAAGAGAGGUGAGGAAUGAGGCUGAAGAGGAACCAUAGACUUAGUGCCAUCUGUGCCAGAAGGUGGCACCGCUGCCUUGGAGCCUGAGCCCUUGGUGUCCCUAGGCAUUGUGGCAGAGCUUAUAGUGGACGGACCCUGAUGCUUCUGGGUACCGUGCUUCAGAGCCACCAGUGUGAUUGCUAUUGAAGUCGCUGAGUGCACUGGAGAACCCUCUGACUGGCCAAAGACUCUGGUGGUUUGGGGACCUUUUUCUUGAGCCUUUAUGGGGGGAAUCUGCCCAAUUUUUUUCGUGAUGCUACGGCCUUGGAAAUUGAAGGAUCUGGGGAUGAUGUACAUCCUGGAGAAAGUUCAGCACAAUUGUCAGCUGGUGGUUGAAAUGCACUCUCCAUCAGGAAUUUUAACUUCAGCUCCUGUAUUUUUCCCCCAGACCUUGUCUUCAGCUGCUGGCAGAGGGUGCACUCUUGUGGGAUGUGUGUCUCUCCCAGGCAUCGGACACAGCGAGAAUGUGUGUCUUCUACAGGAAUUGCUUCCUUGCAGCAGAGGCACCUCGUGAAACCGGGGGAGUCAGGCAUGCCCCGGUGAGGCUAUCAACCUCCAAAAGCGAGCAAUGCAAAAUAAAAGUCUGCUCUUCUU